rnacentral:rRNA from 1 species
CUCUGUGGCCAUACCACCCUGAAUGCGCUUGAUCUUGUCUGUUCUCGUGAAGCUAAGCAGUGUCGGGCCUGGUUAGUACUUGGAUAGGAAACCACCUGGUAAUAUCAGGUGCUGUAGACC